AUUUUGCUGUUGGACCGUCCCACAGAGUGCUGCGUUCCCACCGUUUCUGCUCAGGGGAAGUGCUCUGUCAGCUCAGACCGUGAGCAGCUCUCCAGGGAGCACACAGCAGGGCUCAGGGCCUGGCACCGGGAGAGGAUAAUCCUGUUUAUUCGGUCAUCCAAAGCACUGAUGAUCUGAGAUAAUCGGUGGCUGAGAGCAGUGAGGAGGGACGCGUGAGGUGCUCCGUGCCUGGAUGGAUGAGUCAGAUGCUCAGCACUGGGGAACGGACUGAGCUCACCCCUGCAGCCCCAACAGGGCGUGGAGAGCCCCAGCCAACCUCACAAAGAAGACAGAAAGUGGAGAAGCCAACCAGGUGUUCGGGGCCCUGCAGGUGGGAUAUUCAUGUAUGGCUGUUUGAUCAGCCCUGAAGGGCAGAGUUCUUGCUCUCCAACCUUCCUUCCUUUGCACCCUACGAGUCAGUGCUGAACACUGUGCUCCUCCUGAUGGUGCUUCAGGGCUCCUCGUGCAGAGCUCCAUGCUGCAGCACAGCCCUGAAGACAAGGGCACAUCUCUGCUGAAGGCACCGCUGCUGCACUCCGACCACCAGACUGAAGUAGUGGCUGCACUCCUCCGAAGGCACCACAUGUGUUGGUGCAUUCUGCAGCGUAAGCACGAGGCAGGAGCUGACAGCCCCACCUGCACUCACAUCUUGCUGGGCCUGAUGACAGCAUCUGGACCAACCCAGAAUAGAAUCAUGAGGUCGGUGUUUAUAACUUCCCAAACCAUCUAUAUGCUGUUUUUAGUGCUGACGCUGUGCAUGGAAGGCCGUGUCACCGCCGUGCUCAUGUUUCCGUGUGACUCUGGGUCUGUUUUGUCCCAUUUCAUAACCAAUAAGUGAAGUGAGUCUGACAGCCUUGGUUUCAGCCCUCACUCGUUGGUUCCCAUGCUGCAGAUAGGCUCGAUUAGCAACAAAUUCCUGCCAGGAGAAGAGAAUUACAGUUCAGGCUCAAAAUGCGCUGGUGUUCCGUGUGAGGUUUUCUUGCCCAAAGUUAGCUGGGGCCGGCUGAAGUGUGACGUUUGGAGUGCACUAUUUAUCUUCUCCUUCUGACCAAAAAUACCUAGAGUGGAAAUAUGGGCCUUAUGUGCAUCCCAGCAGAGAACAGUUGAGCUCCUCCGAAGAGAAGAGUAAACACAGCAUUUCAAAUG
rnacentral:lncRNA from 7 species